AAGGUGAACCCUCUCUCAAGGUGAAGGUGAACCCUCUCUCAAAGUGAAGGUGAACCUCUCUCUCCAAGGUGAAGGUGAACCCUCUCUCAAGGUGAAGGUGAACCCUCUCUCAAGGUGAAGGUGAACCCUCUCUCAAGGUGAAGGUGAACCCUCUCUCAAGGUGAAGGUGAAGGUGAACCCUCUCUCAAGGUGAAGGUGAACCCUCUCUCAAGGUGAAGGUGAACCCUCUCU